GAAAGCACACACCAUGCUGGAAAGGAGAGAGAAGGAAAAACCCACUCCUAGCCACACAAUGGUGGAUCUUAAUAUCCAAUGAAAAGAAAAAAUUCUAAUCUAGGUCACACACAAUAACCCAAUAUAAAAUGAACAAGACAUGAUCAAGCAAAUCAAAGAAAAAUGUACAUCAAUAAAUAUGUUAAGACAUGUUCAAUGUUACUGGUGAUCAAGGAAUUUCAAAUCAAGACCAAAAUGGUAUACCAUUUACAACCAUCCCUCUGGCAAAAAUUAAAUACCAAGUGUCAGCCAUGAGGUGGCUCAGAGCUCUCCUGUAUUGCUAGUGAAAUGUUAACUGGUUCAACAACUAUGUAAGUCAGCAGGACAUUAUGUCCUAAAAUUGAACAUUCGUGUGCCCUAUGACCUAGUUACUCCACUCAGGUCUAUAUAAAAGAGAAAACCAUGCACAUAUGGAACAUGCACAGCAGAAAAUGUGAAAGAAUAUCUCAUGCUCUUCAGAAGAGCAAAAACCUGGAAAUGACCAAAGGCCCAUCAACAGAAGAGUGGAUAAAUUAACUUCAGCAGAUCCACACAAAAUAUCACAGCAGUCAGAAGGAAUAAACCACAGUGAAAAACAACAAUACGGUUGAUUUUUAGUAAUAUUACUGUUAUCACUUAAGUCCCAAAAAGUUACACAUAGGAAGAUAACUUAGUUGCAAACACACAGAUUUUUUUUUUUUGGAAAUUAGAUACAGUAAAAAAAAAAAAAAAUUAAUACAAGAUGGGAGCUAAUGAUUACUCCUAGCGAAAAGUGAAAGAGGAAAGAGUAAAACAGAUAGUGGUUACUGCCAAGAUCCUAGAUUUUUGUUGGAAACAGUGCUCGCUACAUUAUACAAAACAACUAAUUUUUUAAAAGGAAAAAGGUUAGUCUAUGGAUUAACACAUGGCUCACUGUACGUGCCAUGAGCUCGGGAUGAUAGCUGAUCCAAUCCCAUAUACACCUGAAGUCUUGGGGCAGGGGCGGACCACGAGUCAGCGCGCCCCCACAGCACCAGGCUGAUGGCCCCGUGGUUCUUCUGCCUGCAAGCAAAAGUCAGCCACGAUCAUCCUUCUCCAUCUGCAACACCCAGGGUCUUUUCUAAAACUUUUGCCCAGUCGGCUCAGCCAAAAGGACACAGAAGCCCUGCAGAGGCUCUGAAACCAAGGCUGCCAUGGCUCCCAGUUCGACAUCAUGUCACCGGAGCCUGCACAGAUGAACCAAGCUUGCAACACGGGAGGAACCUAAGCGCUGGACUGAGGAGCGGGACUGAAAUAAGAAGCGCACACCACAUGGCAAGAUCCAGGAUCCAAUCAGAUAGAGCCCUGGUGUCAUCUAAUUGCAAGAUCCAAUCAGAACACACCUCAUUACCUUAUGGGUAUUGCCAGACUAUCAGGAGAGACCAUAAAUCAGAUAAAAACAUGAGUUGUAUCCAAAACUCAACCAGGUAUCAUCUUAAAUAUCCAACAGAAUUCU
rnacentral:lncRNA from 1 species